UCCUUUGCUUAACAUGCUUGUUUGUGUAUUUUGCAACAGAAUCCGACAUUGCAGCAUUACACUCAAUACCAGCCUUCUGAUUUGUGUGCUUGUGUAAAGGAUCUCCACCGUCUUUGUUGCAACAGCCCUAAUUCUAAUUUGCCUGCAAUUAAGGAGAAAUACAAUCAGCACAAGGUAACAUAUUCAUCUUAACUUUUAAGCACACACACACUUUCUAAGAUGGUAUAUAAUCUGUUUUGUUAAUAAUCUUCUCAUAAAUUUAUUUGUUUUUUCAGUAUAAAUACGUUGCCAAUAAGUACUGCCCUCCUUCAAUACCUCAAGAAUUUUUCCAGAACUGAGCAGAGAGUUGAUGUGUUGAUUGAAUGUGUCCAAUUCCCAGUUGGAAAGCGUUAGAUUGACACAAAGGGCUUCUUCUUGUAUCUGCUUUGAUUGAUGACGCCCACAAAAUCGACGCUUCAAGAAGCA
rnacentral:lncRNA from 1 species